UACGAAGGGGGCUAGCGUUGCUCGGAAUCACUGGGCGUAAAGCGCACGUAGGCGGACUCUUUAAGUCGGUGGUGAAAUCCUGGAGCUCAACUCCAGAACUGCCUUCGAUACUGAGAGUCUCGAGUCCGAGAGAGGUGAGUGGAACUGCGAGUGUAGAGGUGAAAUUCGUAGAUAUUCGCAAGAACACCAGUGGCGAAGGCGGCUCACUGGCUCGGUACUGACGCUGAGGUGCGAAAGCGUGGGAGCAAACAGG
rnacentral:rRNA from 1 species